rnacentral:rRNA from 1 species
AACGAACGCUGGCGGCAGGCCUAACACAUGCAAGUCGAGCGGACCCUUCGGGGUUAGCGGCGGACGGGUGAGUAACGCGUGGGAAUAUGCCCUUCUCUACGGAAUAGUCCUGGGAAACUGGGGGUAAUACCGUAUACGCCCUUUGGGGGAAAGAUUUAUCGGGGAAGGAUUAGCCCGCGUUGGAUUAGGUAGUUGGUGGGGUAAUGGCCUACCAAGCCGACGAUCCAUAGCUGGUUUGAGAGGAUGAUCAGCCACACUGGGACUGAGACACGGCCCAGACUCCUACGGGAGGCAGCAGUGGGGAAUCUUAGACAAUGGGGGCAACCCUGAUCUAGCCAUGCCGCGUGAGUGAUGAAGGCCUUAGGGUUGUAAAGCUCUUUCAGCUGGGAAGAUAAUGACGGUACCAGCAGAAGAAGCCCCGGCUAACUCCGUGCCAGCAGCCGCGGUAAUACGGAGGGGGCUAGCGUUGUUCGGAAUUACUGGGCGUAAAGCGCACGUAGGCGGACCGGAAAGUUGGGGGUGAAAUCCCGGGGCUCAACCUCGGAACUGCCUUCAAAACUACUGGUCUUGAGCUCGAGAGAGGUGAGUGGAAUUCCGAGUGUAGAGGUGAAAUUCGUAGAUAUUCGGAGGAACACCAGUGGCGAAGGCGGCUCACUGGCUCGAUACUGACGCUGAGGUGCGAAAGCGUGGGGAGCAAACAGG